GGGAGCCUACGGGGGGCAGCAGUGAGGAAUAUUGGUCAAUGGCCGAGAGGCUGAACCAGCCAAGUCGCGUGAGGGAAGACGGUCCUACGGGUUGUAAACCUCUUUUGUCGGGGAGCAAAGAGAGUCACGUGUGACUCAUUGAGAGUACCCGAAGAAAAAGCAUCGGCUAACUCCGUGCCAGCAGCCGCGGUAAUACGGAGGAUGCGAGCGUUAUCCGGAUUUAUUGGGUUUAAAGGGUGCGUAGGCGGUUUGUCAAGUCAGCGGUAAAAAUUCCGGGCUCAACCCGGUCCCGCCGUUGAAACUGG
rnacentral:rRNA from 1 species